CUGGACUGUAACUGACGCUGAGGCACGAAAGCGUGGGGAGCAAACAGGAUUAGAUACCCUGGUAGUCCACGCUGUAAACGAUGAGUACUAGGUGUCGGGGGUUACCCCCUUCGGUGCCGCAGCUAACGCAUGAAGUACUCCGCCGGGGAAGUACGCGGGGAAGAGUGAAACUGCAAGGAAUUGGCGGGGAGGCGGGCAAGUAGAGGAGGAUGGGGUUUGAUGCGAAGCAACGCGGAGAACCGUACCUAAGGUUGACAUCCCAAUGAGAUCUC
rnacentral:rRNA from 1 species